UUGAAAGGGAAACGAUUGAAGUCAGUCGUACUUGCGGGUAAUCAGCCUUUUGGGUGUGAUUCUGUGGAGCGUGGGGAGUUAAACGCCUUCAUGCCUGCGUAUUCGUGCACUUUGGGUGUACUUGCCCGUGUGGUAGGUUAACAUCAAUUUUGAUCAUCAUAAAAUGGCUGGAGGAAUGUAGCUUCGACCUCGUAUUGAAGUGUUAUAGCCUUCGGCAGAUGUGAUGAUCGGGAUUGAGGAUUGCAACGGAUACCCUUCGGGGCUACCUGUCUGAUCUCUGAUUGUUGCUCUGGUGCCGAAAGCGUGCUUACGGUUAUCAAAGCCGAUGGUCAACAGGUUAGAACGGGUUAAAUUCGUUAAGGAUGUUGACGUA
rnacentral:rRNA from 1 species